UACAGAGGUCUCAAGCGUUGUUCGGAUUCAUUGGGCGUAAAGGGUGCGUAGGCGGCGCGGUAAGUCGGGUGUGAAAUCUCGGAGCUUAACUCCGAAACUGCAUUCGAUACUGCCUUGCUAGAGUACUGGAGAGGAGAUUGGAAUUUACGGUGUAGCAGUGAAAUGCGUAGAUAUCGUAAGGAAGACCAGUGGCGAAGGCGGAUCUCUGGACAGUUACUGACACUGAGGCACGAAGGCCAGGGGAGCAAACGGG
rnacentral:rRNA from 1 species